rnacentral:rRNA from 1 species
GACGAACGCUGGCGGCGUGCUUAACACAUGCAAGUCGAACGGAAAGGCCCUGCUUGCCGGGUACUCGAGUGGCGAACGGGUGAGUAACACGUGGGUGAUCUGCCCUGCACUUCGGGAUAAGCCUGGGAAACUGGGUCUAAUACCGGAUAGGAGCCAUUUUUAGUGUGAUGGUUGGAAAGUUUUUUCGGUGUAGGAUGAGCUCGCGGCCUAUCAGCUUGUUGGUGGGGUAAUGGCUUACCAAGGCGGCGACGGGUAGCCGGCCUGAGAGGGUGGACGGCCACAUUGGGACUGAGAGACGGCCCAGACUCCGACGGGAGGCAGCAGUGGGGAAUAUUGCACAAUGGGCGCAAGCCUGAUGCAGCGACGCCGCGGGGGGGAUGACGGCCUUAGGGUUGUAAACUCCUUUCGCUAGGGACGAAGCUUUUUGUGACGGUACCUAGAGAAGAAGCACCGGCUAACUACGUG